CCAAGGGAAGCUUAGCAUUCAAUAUUUUUUGAAUUUAGAAGGUGGGUCUCAUUUUAGUUUGAACUUGACAAAUAUUGUGGGAAAAACUGAGGUCGUCAUUUUUUUGGAGGAAAGCUUGAAGGUGGCUGUGUUCGUCAUUUUUCAUCAAUCUUCACCAAGUUCGUCAACGACUGCUUUGGGAUCCUUGCCGGAGACAUCUUCCCGGCGUUUGAAGGGUUAGAGUUGGGUCUGGCGUUGUUGACGCGUUUUGUUUCCUCUCCCGGCAUUUCUGCCUUUCCAGUUCCGUGGGUUUCCCUUCCGGCGUUGGCUCCGGCGUUCUUCGCAUUUUGUGAGUCGUUUCGCCGUUCGGUGUUUCCCUUUUUCAUUCAAUUUUAUUUUUCCUUCACUUGGUGUAGUUAGAUAUUUAUAGGUUUUUUAGUUGCAAAAUGUUAUAGUAUGUUUUUUUGCGUCGAUUCGGUUUAAUUAGGCAAAUUAAUGGCGAAUUGAGCUAGAUCUAUGGCUUUUUUUUUACUGAUUACCUAGUAUUCUAGUUAUAACUCAAUCGUUGAUUGUCGAGGAUGGUGGUGGGAAAUGUUGAUGUGCCACCCAAGAGAAAACGUUCAGCAAGAAUGAUCUUGCUGAUAGUGAUGGUGGAGAGGAUGACGAGAGGCCAGCACGUUGCCGGCGAUUCUGCCCUCGGCUGUAGCCAACGGUUUGACUCCAGAAUAUGCUGCUGAUAGAGGUAAUUAGGAAACUCUUCUUCUCUCCGCUGAUGUGAAGGUCGGAUUGGUGCUUGUCGACAUCGUUAAUGGCUUCUGCACUGUUGGUUCCGGAAAUCUCGAUUAGUUCAGUAGAAACAGAAGGUAAUGAUGGAGUAUUCUGCACUUCAGAUUCCAUUAAUGUUCUAGAUUUCUGGCAACCUUAAGGCAUUGCUUUUAAGAUACCUAAAGUCGGAGUGGAUGUGCAGUCAGCUUUCUCGCUUGGGGAUUCCAUCUACAUUGGAUGUUCUACAUUAAGAUCAGCUGUGAAAAAACAAUACUCUUCCCAAAUCCAACAGUUCUCUUUGCGCAAACAAAGGCUUUUUAGCACCUACACAUUAACUGAGUCAAAUGCUGACAGCCACUUCACAUCAUUGCCCCAAGUUUGGGGAUGUUCAAACUACGUCAUGGGAGUUUGCGGACUUGGAUCGAGCAAUAAUUUAUUGCCUGUCGUUUUGGCAUAUUAGCUAUUUUAGUUAAAACUUGCUUCUUGGAGUGUUUGUGAGUUAGUUUGUUUUUUUUUUGUUUUUCUAAUGCAACAACUUUGUUUGUAAUUGUUGUAUUAUAUAUCCAGUUUUCUUUCGUUUUG